rnacentral:rRNA from 1 species
UACAGAGGAUGCAAGCGUUAUCCGGAAUGAUUGGGCGUAAAGCGUCUGUAGGUGGCUUUUUAAGUCCGCCGUCAAAUCCCAGGGCUCAACUCUGGACAGGCGGUGGAAACUACCAAGCUGGAGUACGGCAGAGGGGGAUGGAAUUCCGCGUGUAGCAGUGAAAUGCGUAGAUAUGCGGAGGAACACCGAUGGCGAAGGCAAUCCCCUGGGCCUGUACUGACGCUCAUGCACGAAAGCGUGGGGAGCAAACAGG